rnacentral:rRNA from 1 species
UACGUAGGUGGCGAGCGUUGUCCGGAAUUACUGGGCGUAAAGAGCGCGCAGGCGGCUGGUCAAGUUCGACGUGAAAUCUCCCGGCUUAACUGGGAAAUUGCAUCGGAAACUGAUCGGCUUGAAGGUGGGAGAGGGUAGCGGAAUUCCCGGUGUAGUGGUGAAAUGCGCAGAUGAUCGGGAAGAACGACCCGUGGCGAAGGCGGCUCACUGGCCCGAUACUGACGCUGAGGCACGAAAGCGUGGGGGAGCAAACAGG